rnacentral:rRNA from 1 species
UAGAGUUUGAUCCUGGCUCAGAAUGAACGUUGGCGGCGUGGAUUAGGCAUGCAAGUCGCGCGAUAUUUGUAGCAAUACAAUGAAAGCGGCGAAAGGGACAGUAAUGUGUGGGAACCUACCCUGAGGCUCGGGAUAGCGGCGGGAAACUGCCGGUAAUACCGAAUAAUAUCUCAGGAUCAAAGGUGUGAUUCCGCCCUGGGAUGGGCCCACAUGCUAUUAGCUAGUUGGCGGGGUAACGGCCCACCAAGGCAAAGAUGGCUAGCGGGUGUGAGAGCACGACCCGCGUCACUGGGACUGAGAUACUGCCCAGACACCUACGGGUGGCUGCAGUCGAGAAUCUUCGGCAAUGGGCGAAAGCCUGACCGAGCGACGCCGCGUGCGGGAUGAAGGCCCUCGGGUUGUAAACCGCUGUCGAGGGAGACGAAAUUCUGGUGGGUUCUCCCAUCAGAUUGACCGAUCCCUGGAGGAAGAGUGGGCUAAGUUCGUGCCAGCAGCCGCGGUAAGACGAACCACCCAAACGUUAUUCGGAAUCACUGGGCUUAAAGAGUGCGUAGGCGGCUAUGUAAGUAGGGUGUGAAAUCCCACAGCUCAACUGUGGAACUGCGCUCUAAACUACGUGGCUAGAGGGAUAUAGAGGUGAGCAGAACUGAUGGUGGAGCGGUGAAAUG